GAUUAAUGGAAGUGUGUGCACGAUCAGCUGGGAAGAUUACUAAGGUAGAGGGUUACUGCGAAUCCGGGUUAGAUCUAUGGGUCGAUUUAAAGAUAGAUAGCAAUCCAGAAAAUGAUUUAGAUCAUAGUGACUUGCCUCAACCCACUGCGUCCCC